rnacentral:rRNA from 1 species
UACGGAGGAUGCAAGCGUUAUCCGGAAUAAUUGGGCGUAAAGCGUCCGUAGGUGGCUGUUCAAGUCUGCCGUUAAAGACCGGGGCUUAACUUCGGAAAGGCAGUGGAAACUGAACAGCUAGAGUAUGGUAGGGGCAGAGGGAAUUCCUGGUGUAGCGGUGAAAUGCGUAGAUAUCAGGAAGAACAUCGGUGGCGAAGGCGCUCUGCUGGACCAUAACUGACACUCAGGGACGAAAGCUAGGGGAGCGAAUGGG